GCACCCGCACAGCAAGGAGGCUGAAAAGAGGUGAAAAAACUCCCUUCUGAAUUGAAAUCACAGACCUGUGACCUGCAUGCUCUCCUAAAUGGGAAGGGGUGAGGAGCGCUGUGGGAAAGGCUCCUCCUUGGCAAGGAAAGGGAUGAUUUCUCCGGAGUUCACCGGACUCCCCCUUUCCCCAGCGCCAAGCAUCCGGACCCAUCUUCGGUUGUGAAUCUGGCCUGGGAUGCAGCCACCUCUUAGAGCAACCCCCGCUGCUGCUUGUGCCCUGCUGUGCUACUGCCUCAGUCACUUCCUGCUUGGUCAAGACCACAGCUGCUGAUGUCACAGCUGAGGCACAUCAAAAAGGCUGCCUGAUUCAAAGAAAGCUGCCGGAUAAAUCAUAGAGCACAGACACUUCUACCUCAUGCUCUUAUGGGACUUUAGGAACCAAACAUAAGCACCUAUGGAAAAUGCACGGUGGUCUUGAAAGGCUGUGUGGUCUUUAUCAGAAAAUAUCUGAAUGACUGUCUCUUAUGUCAGUCCUACUCUGCAGGCUUGCUAAGAUGAUAAUUGAAAGGGCUUUUGGUUUCUGCUUUAGAAUCUGUCACUUAUGUUUUGAAGCGUUGUGAGCAAGCGAUGCAGCAGAUUGCAGGGUGAGGGGGAUGAACCUGGGCCAGAAGCCAGAUGUGUUUCUCCACGCACUGCCCUGACCUACAGCCGGAACUGGGCUCAGUGGUUUCAGCCUCAUUUGCUAAGAAGGGCUGGGUGCGUAAUCUUGGCUGCACCUUAAAAUCCCUGGGAGCUUUUAAGACAUAUUGACACAUAAACUGUAACUCACAUGAAACGAAAACACAUCUCUGGGGCUGGGCUGAGCAAAUGCCUUUUUUUUAAAGGCCCCUCAGGUGAUUCUGUCUCAGAGAUGUUGAAAACCAGUGGGUUAGGAGCUCAGUCAUCUACUUUCAGAUCUGUGAUUAUGCCACUAUUAAAUACAGUUGGCUAUCACAUAGAUUUUUAUGCUUUAGCUUGUUUUUUUUUCUCUGCUAUACCAAAUAAAAUCUUUUGAGCUGUUGUAGUUCCAGUCCUUAAAACAACAGUUGUUACCAUACUGAGGUUAAACAUUAGUGCAUUUGCUUAACAAGGACAUUAAAACUUCUUACCACACUGACAUAAUUUUAAUGAUUUCUAUAAUAAUUAAUAAGAAAAUCAAUAAUUGGAUUUUAAAGCAGGAAACUAGGCAGGAAAGUUGAAAUUCAUAUACCAGUUCAAUGGAAAACAUUAAAAUGUAGUUGUGUGAUGCCCAAUAUUCUAUGCUGUUUGUUGGUUCAUUGGUUUCUCAUCUAUUGUAACAGCACCCAUAGUUAAAAAGCACUACUUUUUUUGGUCUGAUAGUUAAAAAGACAACAACAAUCCUUUGCAUGUAAGAAUUUUUUUCUCAUAAUCACAAUUUUAGAGUUUGCACAUAUUCUAUUCAAUUUCAAAAAUAACUUUAAAGAGUCUAGUACCUGCAGGGAAUAUUACAAUUGCAAUCAUUGUUUUAAUACCAUCUCCUCUCCCUCUUCCCUUCCCAAAAGGUAUAAAGACAUAAACAUCAUCUGCUGCCAAAUAAAUCCUGGAAUUCGAGGGCGAUGCUGGGAAGGUACCAACCUUCGCCUUUUCUAUGGCGUUUGCGAACUCUCCUACCCACAGGAAGCAGCAGUGGGGAGAGAGCAGGAGGAAGCAGUCCCCACUAUUGAGCGCCGAAGCUCGAGGUUCCACCAGCCUGGUCUGCACGUGUCUUCUUCCUGAACACGAGGCAGACACUCACCGUCUUUCCAGACAGAACGGGGAUAGGACGCAC
rnacentral:lncRNA from 1 species